rnacentral:lncRNA from 1 species
AUGAUCCCCAAUUCACUUUUGAAAGCUGUACUUGUCUACUCGUCAGAUCAAAAGCUUCCAAAACAUUUCCCCCAGAUUUCUCUCUCUGCAUUUUCAAAUUUCUCUCAACUUUUCCUCUCAUCUGCGUUCUCUCCUGAGUGGUGUAGAUGAAUCGAAGAUAACAAUCAAAGGGAAGAUGACGAUCGACGUUAAAUUGAAGGUUCAGUAGGUCUGGCCGGUCUUUCGUCACCCUUGGAGAGUUGUUCAUCUCUCUUGGUCGUGUUUUGGCCAUCCGAGAAGCAGUGGUCUAUUAGCCUUCAAUGGGUGCUGAAGAGAUCUAGGGCUUGAUGGUGCUUUUGUAGAGAAACUGACUAGCAAUAUGUGGAAAACGACACCAAUCUGUGUUUUUGGGUGGUGUUUUGAUGCUACAAAAAGCAGAAUUUUGAGACCUUAAGAAGCUGUAGCGUUGUUUGCGAAUCUUUAUUAUAACUAUUUAUAUCGAGAAAUUAAAGAUUACAAGUAAAGGUCAACUACCGACAUCUAUUUUGAAAUCACGGGCUGCGACUUUUCUAGAAUGUGCUCGUGUUGUGAUACCGUGCAAGACGGAGUUGUAGCUGACCCUGGUAAUACUGGAAUUCAUAUCAACAAGGGCUUAUUGGCUCUGUUGUUUCAGGAAUUCAUAUCACCACCACCACCGCCACUCCCACCACAGACGCUUCAACGUCGUCCGGCGCCCUACAUUCAACCGACACACCCGCAGCCGCCAUCCAACGUUGGGCCUUUGUUAUCUCACAACGCUACCAACACCUGUUGGACAAGUCAACUCUGUUCUUGCUCUACCGUUAGAUCGUCUUCUGCGUGAUCGCGAUCAUCUACACUGCACGCGUGCUCCACUUGCAAGGGUUAUAUGUGGUGUCGUACGCGCUUGGGAUUUAUAUUCUUAUGCGCUUGGGAUUUAUAUUCUUAGUCUCCUCAUAGGGUUUCUGUCUCCUCAGGUUGAUCCCGAGUUUCAAGACCUAUCUGAUGGCCCGGUUCUUCCUAAUCGGAGCUCCGAUGAGUUUUGCCCCUUUGUUCGUCGCCUUCCCGAGUUUAAGUUUUGACUUUGAUAUGCAGGGGCUAUUUAAAAGUUUUGUUAGAGAAGAUGACAAGCUAAGGAAUCUAUGUCGCUUAGUUCGUCUCGUGGUUUGACCGAUCCGUUGACUGAAGAUGAAUCUAUGUCACUUAGUUCGUCUCGUGGUUGGCCUUCGUCUGCUUAUUUUAUUCAAGGUUAUAUUUUAGGAGCUGGUAAAUCAUAUUAUGCCGCAACACUCCUCGGUUUAAUUGCCCACAUGUCUUUUUUUUUCAGAUGCAUUAGAGGCAUUUGGUGGUGGCCAACAUGAUCCUGUGAGCUCAUCUAUUGGAGUUGUCCUUUGUGGGCGGAAGGUUUGUCAUUGCAAGUGAUGGCGUUUGGGUGCCUUAUCUGCAGAAACGACUUGAAAGUGCAGUCGUGGCAGUAGCCCGACAAAUUGUCAAUAGCCUAAGGGAUUAAGAGAUGGUACAACUUGCAUGAUGAUAUUCUACAUGAAGAAAAGAUGAAUACUCUUGUCUCUUUGACUAUCUUUUGUGUUUUUUUUUUAUGAAUUGAAGUUUGUUUUAUUUCAUGCCUUGUAAGGUGAAAUGUUCUAUUCAUCUUAGAUGUUGGCAUUUUGUUAUUGCUUGUCAUGUCAUGGGUCAAGGCUUUUAGUUUUGUACCAUGCCCUUCAUAUAAUGUCUCGCUGUUUUUUUGUAGCAGCGGGUUUUUUCUGGGUAUGCAAGUAAAAAUGUCAAAUGUGUUGGGGGUGGCAGGCUUUAGUAAGCUGGUUUGGGUUGAGGGCUGUAAUUUGAUAAACCAAAGAUCAAAGAUGUUCUAAAUAUUUAUUCAUGUUGAAGUUUA